rnacentral:rRNA from 1 species
GACGAACGCUGGCGGCGUGCUUAACACAUGCAAGUCGAACGGAAAGGCCCUGCUUGCAGGGUGCUCGAGUGGCGAACGGGUGAGUAACACGUGGGUGAUCUGCCCCUUAUUUUGGGAUAAGCCUGGGAAACUGGGUCUAAUACUGGAUAGGACCAUGCUGUAGGUGGUGUGGUGGAAAGAUUAGUUUCGGUAAGGGAUGAGCUCGCGGCCUAUCAGCUUGUUGGUGGGGUAAUGGCCUACCAAGGCGUCGACGGGUAGCCGGCCGGAGAGGGUGGACGGCCACAUUGGGACUGAGAUACGGCCCAGACGCCUACGGGAGGCAGCAGUGGGGAGGAUUGCACAAUGAGCGCAGGCCUGAUGCAGCGACGCCGCGGGGGGGAUGACGGCCCUCGGGUUGUAAUCUCCUUUCAGCCAUGACGAAGCCCUUGUGGUGACGGUAGUGGUAGAAGAAGCACCGGCUAACUACGUG